UCAGAUUCCACCAUUCUUUUGAUCUCAGCAAAUUCUCCAUUAGCAUGCUCCUGUGCUCAUAGUCCCCAUCAAAUUUGGGGAUGGUUAGCAUGUUGUGCCCUUCUCCUGCCAUUGCUGAAUCUUCUAUAUUCUCUAUUUUCUUUCUCAGUGAUCAGGCCCCAAUUGGAGCUCUGAUACUAAUUUGUUAGAACAGAACUGUAACAAUGAAUUUAGAAUGAAAAACGUAAUAAUUUUAUUGAUGUUUUGCUUCUCUUAAAUAGCCUAAGUACAACUGAAAAACCCUAACAUUUAGGAAUCAACUACUACUCAGUACUCCUACAAUAUAUGACUGAAUUAUUCAACUAAAGACUUGGUAAAACCCUAACAAACUACAUUAUUCAACUACAGACCUUAA
rnacentral:lncRNA from 1 species